rnacentral:misc_RNA from 1 species
UGGCUCUCGCAUCGAUGAAGAACGCAGCGAAAUGCGAUAAGUAAUGUGAAUUGCAGAAUUCAGUGAAUCAUCGAAUCUUUGAACGCACCUUGCGCUCCUUGGUAUUCCGAGGAGCAUGCCUGUUUGAGUGUCUUGAAGUCAUCAACCCCUCACGUUUCGUGCGGAGGGGGGUUGGAGCUGGGGGCUUGCGGCUGAGAGGCCGCUCCCCUCGAAUGCAUCGGUUGGGCCUGUGGGUCGGACCCUCGGUUGGGCGUUGUACCAUCCUCGCUCCUCGUUCCGAGAAGGUUUCCCCGCGAUCGUGCCCUCCCCCGACCUCCUCUGGAGCGGCGGUCAAAACAAAACACUUUGAAAUCUGACCUCAAAUCAGGCAGGACUACCCGCUGA